UACGGAGGGUGCAAACGUUGCUCGGAAUCAUUGGGCGUAAAGCGCACGUAGGCGGUCCAGCAAGUCGGGUGUGAAAGCCCUCGGCUUAACCGAGGAAGUGCAUUCGAAACUACUGGACUUGAGUACUGAAGAGGAUCGCGGAAUUCCCGGUGUAGAGGUGAAAUUCGUAGAUAUCGGGAGGAACACCAGUGGCGAAGGCGGCGCUCUGGACCGAGACUGACGCUGAGGCGCGAAAGCGUGGGGAGCAAACAGG
rnacentral:rRNA from 1 species